AUGGCCAUGGCGGGCAGCGUGGCGGGGGCAGCGCUGCGGCGCGGCCGGAUCGGCCUCCGCCACCGCCUGGCGCGGCCGCCGGGGCUCGGCGGCGGGAGGGCGGCGGCGGACUGGAGCCGGAGCCGGGCGGCGGCCGGAGGAGCGGUGCAGUACUGCGCCGAGCUGGUGCGAAAGCGUGACUAUGAAGGGUUUCUGUGUUCUCUGCUGUUGCCUGCGGAAUCUCGAACCUCUGCUUUUGCCUUGAGAGCCUUCAAUGUGGAACUGGCUCAGAUUAAAGACUCCAUAACUCAGAAGACUACGGGUUUGAUGCGGAUGCAGUUCUGGAGGGAGGCUGUGGAAGACAUAUACUGCGAUAACCCACCACAUCAGCCAGUUGCUACAGAACUGUGGAGGGCUGUCAAGAGGCAUAAUUUGACUAAAAUGUGGUUCAUGAAGAUCAUUGAUGAAAGAGAGAAGAAUUUGGAUGAUAGGGCAUACCGUAACAUCCAGGAGCUCGAAACGUAUGCUGAGAACACUCAGAGUGCUCUCUUGUACCUCACCUUGGAAAUGCUGGGUGUGAGGGACAUCCAUGCUGACCAUGCAGCCAGUCACAUUGGGAAAGCACAAGGCAUAGUUACCUGUUUAAGAGCAACUCCGUAUCAUAGUACAAGACAAAAGGUCUUUCUUCCCAUGGACAUUUGUAUGUUGCAUGGAGUUUCACAAGAGGAUUUCAUAAGGGGCAAGCAAGAGAAAAAUGUGAGAGAUGUAAUUUAUGACAUUGCCAGCCAGGCCCAUAUUCAUCUAGAACAUGAGGCAGUUUACUCACAGCCAGGUCCAAUUUGUUAUAUAUAAAUGCUGCCUAAGAGACUUAUUACUGGAAGAGAAACUUCAAGCAGACUUUCCUAAAUGCAGCUAUGUGCCAGCAUGGGAUCAGCACCAUAGAAAGCACCUCUGCAUAUGGUAUUUCGCAGCACAGUGGAAUGGCUGCCAGGAAAACAGAGCAUGUUGCCUUUAACUGCUGGUUGGUGUGUGUGGGAGAGGGGAUUCAUUCCCUAGCAUGACCAGCCAUGCCCAGAAUUAAGUUGGGAAAAGUGCUUUCUGUUUAUAUCUUUUCUGGCAUACAGCCAAGUGAAUUAUGAAAGACUUUAUUUGCUUGGAACAGUAAAUUAUGAGCCCUGAAGGACAGCAGAGUUCUACUCUAUUUUUUCUUUCAUGUUUUUAUUUUAGCUACACUCUGAAUUGCUUGUUGGUGCAUAGUACAAAAGCAAAAGAAUGUUUCAUCAGCAAUGCUUGGUCUGCCUCCAUCUGGAAAACAAAACUUGAAAGAAGCACUGUAAAGAGCUGCUUAUGUCUACGAGUACAUGUCUGUGUAUACUUUAAGUAUUGCCCUCAGUGCUUCCAGUCAAGGUAGUCUGGAAAGAUACCAUUUCAGAGUAAAGAAAUGCCAGAUUUAUCUCUGCAUUUGCACCAUUGAUAUAAUCCUCAAUUACAGCAUUACCUGUGAUCACAGGAUUUUUUUGCAGUAGAAAUAGGAGAGCCCUUUUCUGAAGGUAAAAUGAGGGAUCUCUGGUUUGUUCAGUCAGAUGUUAAUUGACUAAUGUUUUUAUUUUAUGUUAAUAGUAUGUAUAUAUUAUAACAGCUCUCCAGUACCUACAGGGUCCUACAAGAGAGCCAGAGAGGGACUUUUUACAGGGGCAUGUAGGACAAGGGGGAGUGGCUUUAAACUGAAAGAGGGCAGGUUUAGAUUAGAUACUAGGAAGAAAUUCUUUAAUGUGAGGGUGGUGAGGCACUGGCACAGGCUGUCCAGAGAAACUGUGGAUGGCUCAUCUCUGGAAGUGCUCAAGGCCGGUUUGGAUGAGGAUUUCAGCAACCUGGUCUAUAGUGGGAGGUGUCCCUGCCCAUGGCAGUGGGGGUUUGAACCAGAUCAUCCCUUCCAACUCAAACCAUUCUAUGAUUCUAUGUAGCCUUGAGCUUUAUUUUUUAUAGACUAAUUCUAAUUUGCAUUAACGCAUUCCUGUUCACACUGUUUCUUCUGAUGUCUCAGUUUUUGUGGUCACAUGCCCAGGAAAACUGUUUAUUCCAUUUAGAAGUAGGGAACAGAGACAAAGAAAAUGCAGCAUCAAAACUGUCCACUACCUUUGUUCAAGCUGAAAUAUUUUGAUUUUUCUUCUUUUAUUCUCCAUCUGUCAUCCCAUAAUGCACAGCAUUUAAAACCCAUUGACUUUGGUUGCAGUUGUGGCUUACAAAAAUGCCAAGUGCCUGGUCUGAAAUGCCUCAUAUCAGGGAUGGGAGGAAUGGAAAUGAGUAAUGUGUAUUUCUGGUCUACAUCUUUAAAAUUUGGUUCCUGGUAUUGUAUGGAUACUUUGGAAAGAGAAUUCAGUUCUUCAGAACUUUUCACAUAAUUUGAUAAUUCAUACUCCCUUGGUCCCCUCACUUCCAGAAUGCCUACCAGCUUCUGAAGAGAACAGGCCUCCUUUCUUCCCACUGCAUUCCUAGAGCCCUGCCCAUGUUAUACACUGGGAGGGUCCUGAGGAAAAUAUGCAAUGUGAUCAUGUAAUUGGAGACUAUACAGAAAAGUAUAAACAGGAGGAAACCAGAUUAGGGCAGCAUUAGCAUUUCAUUCAACUGAAUGUUUGUCUUGGCACCCUCUCCCCUUUUUCUGUUAAUGGAUGGGUUAUAUCACCUUAAUUAAAAUUUAAAAAUUCCUCUUUGAAUACUUGCUCCAUCAUCAUCAGUGAAGAAUAGUUGACAGUGCAGGAUCUCUGUAGAGUGUUCAAAGCACUUGAACUGGCUAUAACUGGCAGCAGUAACAGGAUAUUGGCCUCCUUAAUAAUCAGAUGAUCUUUGUUAAUGCAAGGACAAAGGUACUUUCUCCCCUAAUGGCUGAAAUGGGCUUUAGCUGGCAAGGUUUGCUGGGUAUUUCAAGACUUAAGGUGAAUGUAGUGGGCUGGUGCCUUUAAAUGCAUCUGUCCUCCUGUAUAAAAUCACCAUCUUGUUUUGCCUGAGGGUCUUUUGAGCCACUUAUGCUUUGUUUUAGUUGGAAUUAGAGAGUAGGGUAAAGUUUAAACCUGAAGACAGGUUUCGACAAUCUCAGCAUUUGUUACACAAACCACAUAUUUUAGAGGAUGAGGACAAUGGUUACCAGCCCCAUUUCACAGCCAGAAGACAUAUAAUCCUAAAAUGCAGAAUUGAGUCUCAGCAAUAUUACAGGAAGCAUAUUGUAGUAAUGUGGCCCUUAAUCUUGGCAAAAAAAUUUCUGGAGUGUGGUCAGGGACUGAUGACCAGCAGAGGGCAAAAUAAGAUAAUGAAGAUUGUAGUUUUCCUUAGGAGUUCUGUGUUUUAUUAGAAUAAAAAGAUAUAAUAAACAUUCUGUCAGUCCCACAUUCCCCUUUGAAAGCCUGUGAAUACAUUUACAUGUUCUCCUCCUUCCUCUUAAGCACCCUUUGUUAAAAGAGAGUGUCCUUUUGGCUUUUUGCAUUUAUCUCAGUUAUGCUACAUCAUUAUGGGCUCAAUUUACCGAGGAAGAUAACAUGCUUUCUGAAUGACGUGCAACCCAUUCUGGGUUAAGAAGGUCAAGCAAGACUACUUUUUUUUUCAUCUCACAAUUAAUAAUAGCAAGGCAAGAUGUUAGAUCAGGGAAGAAUAUUUUUCUUUUUUAGAGAUAGACAUACAAAAAGUUUUAAAAUAAUUUGCCUUCUAAAAGAUUAAGUAUUUUUUCCUUCCAAAGUUUCAGGCUGAUUUUUCUCAGUUGCCUGGAAAAAUUUGUGAAAAACUAUCAGAAACUUAUACACUCUUGUCAGUAUUUGUAAAGAGUUGGUUUGUUUUAACCUGUAAGAAAAGGCAAAACAAGGAGGAAUUUUGUGUUUAUAAAUAAACAUUACAGGAAGACUUGCUUCAGCUCUGUUAGAGGAACCUGAGCUGAACACGAGUUUAAAUUGUAGAUUUGAUUCAGCCUUGCUUUAGAUGUGAUAUGUAAAUACUGAGGAACUGAGAUAAUUUUGAAGUCCCAGAAAUGCAAUGGGAGCAUUUACAACUGGGCUCCUGGGGCUGAUGGCAACAUUAGACCAAAAAGAUGCACUGAGAGAAGUGCAUUUCUGGUCUUCCAUAAUUUCUGUCUGUUGGCAUGCAGAGAGUUAUUUGGGUUGUGGGGUGGGGGAAAGGUUAAAUUGUUUAUUAAACCAGAUGCAACUUGGGACUUUGUUGGAACAAGGGAUGCUAAUUUACAUGAUUUAUAAUAUGCAAUCUUUAAGUCUGUCAAACCACGUAAAUAUUUUAGCAGGCCUCUCCCAGUAUUACAUACUUACUGUGUAACUGCUUUUGUACACAGUGAGGGAUGGUGCUGGCUUGCACGUAAGGAAAAGUUACACAUUCAGGAUGUCAAAAUAAAAAGGGAUGAAGCUCAUAAAACAGUUUGUUGCCUCUAACCGUUCUACAUAGUACUUGAUGUUUAAUCUGAAAUGUUAAAUUCUUCUGAUAAGUACGUUUGUUUUUGUUUUGUUUCCCCCCCACCUUACCCCAUUUACUUUUAGGCUAGAUCUUUCAGUAAGAAAGUUCCCGCGAAGGCGUAUCCUGCUUUUUUCUGUACGGUUGCUUUAGAUGAUUUUUUACAUAACAUGCAAAAAGUGGACUUCAAUAUAUUUCAUCCAAGCUUACAAAAGAAGAGUACAUUAUUACCGUUGCAUUUGUAUAUUAGAUCUUGGAGAAAAACAUAUUAAAGUUUGUUUUCUUUUUUUUUUU